AUGUCGAGCCUUGAGGAGCCACUUGGUCUUGGGGACCUGCCAAAGUUGAGUAUUAACAGACUUGAAAGGUUCUCUCCAAGUGCCUGCAGAGCAAGCGCUGAUGAUUGCAGCCCUAGCAAUUACAAGCAACGCAAUGGUGGCAACAAUCAGACGAUCUUUCAAAGCAGUGCCCAUUCAUAGCAUAUGCAAGGUCGAUAUACCGAUUCAUCCUGCAAUGGAGUGGAUAUGGAGUUCAGAGCUCUUCCCCGGAAGGUUUUAUGGGACCUCCCAAGGGUUGUGAAGAUAGUUGAAGUUGGACCACGGGAUGGUCUGCAAAAUGAGAAGAAUACUGUACCAACAUCGGUAAAGAUUGAACUGAUACACAAAUUGGUGGCUUCUGGGCUAUCAGUAGUUGAAGCCACAAGUUUUGUUUCCCCAAAAUGGGUGCCGCAGCUAGCAGAUGCAAAGGAUGUAGUUGAAGGGAUUAGGCAUGUCCCAGAUGUGCGGUUCCCAGUGUUAACUCCUAACCUCAGAGGAUUUGAGGCUGCUGUUGCAGCUGGUGCAAAAGAAGUUGCAGUUUUCGCAUCUGCCUCUGAAUCCUUUUCUAAGUCAAACCUUAAUUGUACCAUCAAGGAAAGCCUUGUUCGGUACCGUGAUGUUAUAACUUCUGCCAAGAAACAUGGAAUACGUCUCCGUGGGUAUGUUUCAUGUGUGGUUGGCUGCCCUGUUAAAGGUGCAAUUCAUCCAUCAAAGGUAGCAUAUGUAGCCAAGGAGCUCUAUGAUAUGGGUUGCUCGGAGAUUUCACUUGGGGACACAAUUGGAGUUGGCACACCAGGUAGUGGUCCUGUUGUCUUUGCUUUCAGCAUGUCAUUCCUGUUUACAGUACGCUUUUUGCCCAUUUAAAGCUACUUUAAAAGUGAUUAUACCAUUUUUUUCUAAA